AACGAACGCUGGCGGCAGGCUUAACACAUGCAAGUCGAACGGUCUCUUCGGAGGCAGUGGCAGACGGGUGAGUAACGCGUGGGAAUCUACCCAGAUCUACGGAACAACAGUUGGAAUCGACUGCUAAUACCGUAUACGCCCUACGGGGGAAAGAUUUAUCGGAUUUGGAUGAGCCCGCGUAAGAUUAGCUAGUUGGUGGGGUAAUGGCUCACCAAGGCGACGAUCUUUAGCUGGUCUGAGAGGAUGAUCAGUCACACUGGGACUGAGACACAGCCCAGACUCCUACGGGAGGCAGCAGUGGGGAAUAUUGGACAAUGGGCGCAAGCCUGAUCCAGCCAUGCCGCGUGAGUGAUGAAGGCCUUAGGGUUGUAAAGCUCUUUCAGUGGGGAAGAUAAUGACGGUACCCACAGAAGAAGCCCCGGCUAACUUCGUGCCAGCCGCCGCGGUAAGAC
rnacentral:rRNA from 1 species